CCCUUAGAUGUUCUGGGCCGCACGCGCGCUACACUGAUGCAUUCAACAAGCCUAGCCUUGACCGAGAGGUCCGGGUAAUCUUUGAAACUGCAUCGUGAUGGGGCUAGAUUAUUGCAAUUAUUAAUCUUCAACGAGGAAUGCCUAGUAGGCGCAAGUCAUCAGCUUGCGUCGAUUACGUCCCUGCCCUUUGUACACACCGCCCGUCGCUCCUACCGAUUGGGUGUGCUGGUGAAAUGUUCGGAUCGGCCGUUUGUCGCGGUUUCCGCGUCAUGUGGCUGAGAAGUUCAUUAAACCCUCCCACCUAGAGGAAGGAGAAGUCGUAACA
rnacentral:rRNA from 1 species